GGACAAAGAAUCUCAAUAAUGAAACUCCCUUAAAAUACUUCUGAUAACUUUCUGAGAAGUUCAAAGUAUGUUUAAUAUAUUAUCCAUGGUGUUGUUUUGAUAUGGUUAGGUUCAUAAUUUAAAGCUUAUCUGCUGAUUAAAAUCAUUUCAUGAUCAUACCAUGCUGUAAAGAAGAAAGGUGCCAUCUUUUUGGAACUACUGCUUGCCCCAUGUCUCACCUUCUCAGCAGCUACCACCUUAUUAAAUUUCACAAAUAGAAGUGUCUAUUUAAGGCCUUGGGGGAAUUUUCUUGAUCUCAAGAUGAUGUUGCAGUUUACUAGCUUGUUGCAUUGCAGUUGUAUCAAAUGAGAAGAGGAAGUCGAAAAAUGUGGUGGAUGGUUCCUUGUGUAAGUAGGGAAAGAAGUUUGUGCUGCGAGUUGCGGAUGGACAUUGAUGAAAUACUCAAGGCUAAGCUUGCAACAAUCACAGAAGAGCCGGAUAUGUGUGAUGAACUGGAAAGUGUGGAGACAGAACACCGCGCUUUAGCUAAGAAGAGAACGGAGAAGAUUUAUAUGAAGGUUAAGCUGGGGACUUUUGAGCGCCUCAUCAGUUCAGCUUUAGGUGCUCUUAUGUGAUUUUUAUGAGUGGUUUUGUGUCCAAACAUGGACUUGUUGCACUUCUAGAGUCCAAUAUGGUACCUAAUGGACACCUUUGAAUUCUCUGCAUUUGAUGUCAAUCUGUGAAUAUCAUUGCUCAAAUAUAGUAGGGCGUAAAGGGAUUUCUUUGUUGGAUUGUAUAUGUGAAACUUUGUAUGUAAAUAUUGUCAUUUUGCUUACUCUUGUAGUUAACAUGUAACUGAUGGUAAGUUCCCUGGCUGACGCUUCCUCAUGAUUCUAAGUUGUAAUGAAAUAUCUGAUUUUUCGCA
rnacentral:lncRNA from 1 species